rnacentral:rRNA from 1 species
ACUGAAGGAUCAUUACCCUUCUUAGGUUUACCGAUGCUGGAAUGCUCGGUAACUCAAAGUUCCGGCGCCUUAGGAUGGAUCUGCGGCCGAUUAGGUAGUUGUUGGGGUAACGGCCCAACAAGCCCGUAAUCGGUACGGGUUGUGGGAGCAAGAGCCCGGAGUUGGAUUCUGAGACACGAAUCCAGGCCCUACGGGGCGCAGCAGGCGCGAAAACUUUACAAUGCGGGCAACCGUGAUAAGGGAACCUCGAGUGCCUGUACAUGCAGGCUGUCUGGGUGUCUAAAACACACCCAAAGAAAGGGCCGGGCAAGACCGGUGCCAGCCGCCGCGGUAAUACCGGCGGCUCGAGUGGUGGCCACUUUUAUUGGGCUUAAAGCGUUCGUAGCUGGGUUGUUAAGUCUCUUGGGAAAUCCGGCGGCUUAACCGUCGGGCGUCUAAGAGAUACUGGCAAUCUUGGAACCGGGAGAGGUGAGGGGUACUUCGGGGGUAGGAGUGAAAUCCUGUAAUCCUCGAGGGACCACCUGUGGCGAAGGCGCCUCACCAGAACGGCUUCGACAGUGAGGGACGAAAGCUGGGGGAGCAAACCGGAUUAGAUACCCGGGUAGUCCCAGCCGUAAACGAUGUGCGUUAGGUGUAUCGACGACCACGAAUCGUCGAGGUGCCGAAGGGAAACCGUGAAACGUACCGCCUGGGAAGUACGGUCGCAAGGCUGAAACUUAAAGGAAUUGGCGGGGGAGCACCACAACAGGUGGAGCCUGCGGUUUAAUUGGACUCAACGCCGGGAAGCUCACCGGAUAGGACAGCGGAAUGAUUGCCGGGCUGAAGACUCUGCAUGACUAGCUGAGAGGAGGUGCAUGGCCGUCGUCAGUUCGUACUGUGAAGCAUCCUGUUAAGUCAGGCAACGAGCGAGACCCACGCCAACAGUUGCCAGCACGAUCCCCGGAUCGGUGGGGACACUGUUGGGACCGCCUCUGCUAAAGAGGAGGAAGGAAUGGGCAACGGUAGGUCAGCAUGCCCCGAAUUAUCCGGGCUACACGCGGGCUACAAUGGGCAGGACAAUGGGUAUCGACACCGAAAGGUGAAGGCAAUCUCCUAAACCUGUCCGUAGUUCGGAUUGUGGGCUGUAACUUCGCCCACAUGGAAGCUGGGAAUCUGUAGUAAUCGCGUUUCAUAAUGCG